AUUGAACGCUGGCGGCAGGCCUAACACAUGCAAGUCGAACGAGUGGCGGACGGGUGAGUAAUGUCUGGGAACGUGCCUGAUGGAGGGGGAUAACUACUGGAAACGGUAGCUAAUACCGCAUACUAUCAGAUCUGCCCAUAUGGGAUUAGCUUGUUGGUGGGGUAACGGCCCACCAAGGCGACGAUCCCUAGCUGGUCUGAGAGGAUGACCAGCCACACUGGAACUGAGACACUGUCCAGACUCCUACGGGAGGCAGCAGUGGGGAAUAUUGGACAAUGGGCGCAAGCCUGAUGCAGCCAUGCCGCGUGUAUGAAGAAGGCCUUCGGGUUGUAAAGUACUUUCAGCGGGGAGGCGUUACCCGCAGAAGAAGCACCGGCUAACUCCGUGCCAGCAGCCGCGGUAAUAC
rnacentral:rRNA from 1 species